UACGUAGGGGGCGAGCGUUGUCCGGAUUCAUUGGGCGUAAAGAGCUCGUAGGCGGCUUGGCAAGUCGGAUGUGAAAACUCCAGGCUCAACCUGGAGCCGCCAUUCGAUACUGCUAUGGCUAGAGUCCGGUAGGGGAGUGUGGAACUCCCGGUGUAGCGGUGAAAUGCGCAGAUAUCGGGAGGAACACCGAUGGCGAAGGCAGCACUCUGGGCCGGUACUGACGGCUGAGGAGCGAAAGCGUGGGGAGCAAACAGGG
rnacentral:rRNA from 1 species